rnacentral:rRNA from 1 species
UGCGGCGGCCAUGGCCCAGGAGAGACGCCCGGUCCCAUUCCGAACCCGGAAGCUAAGACCUGGCACGGCGAUGGUACUGCACCCGACAGGGUGUGGGAGAGUAGCACGCCGCCGCACCACACGACAAGGACCCCCGGACGAGGCCAACAACCCCCGGGGG